rnacentral:lncRNA from 1 species
GUUCUUUGUCAACUAUGUCAAAUAGGGAAUAUAUAUUUUCUUAACCUAAAGUUUACUUCCUGUUAUGGCCUUUAAUUUCCCUUCUUUUUUCCUUCUUGAUUUAUUUUGUCUUAUAUUUUAUGUAUUCUCAUAAAUUGCUUUUCCUCAUUUUUCAAAUUAAGGUAGAGGAGUUUGUAAACAAACUAAAAAAAUUAAUAGAGCUGUUGGAAAGAUUCUAUUUUCUUACAUAAGUGGACUGCCAUACAUUUGCAUAUAUUUGUUUUUAGAUAAAUUUAUAAUGAUCUGUCAUCUGCAAGAUCAUUUUUAAAUUUAAUUUUCUCUGGAUUCUUUUUGACUGCAGGAUAUUUCAUACACUUGAAAAAGCACAAUUUUCUCUGGAACAAGCAUAUUACUGGAAAGCCUUUAUAAAGUUAAUCAGGAAGACUUGCAAAGUGGCUCAAUAUGUAAAUAUGCAAGAGAGUUUCCAGAACAGACUAUCAGCAAGACUUACCAGAAGUCCUUGUUUGACUGGGCCACGUUGUCCCCGCAAUAUUUCUAAUAGUGAAUCCUUUUACUCUCAAAACUGUACUAGUUUGGAUGAUAAAUAUGUAGACUCAUCAUGAUCCUACUCAUAACAGUCCAGAUUUUCUGCUGUGGGCCUUCUGACUUUACUCAGCAUUAAGACUGCUGCUCACACUAGGGACAACACCCCAUGCUUCUGUAGAAGAAAACACAAACUGUUUUUCUCAAUACUCAACACUUCCAACACUGCUGUGACCGUAUGUGUGGAUUCUUCCACAAUAAGCAAUUCUCCACUUCUCCGUUGGCACUAAUUGGCACUAAUCCAGCAAUUCAAUUCAAUUCUAGCACUAUCUACCUGGAAAUAGCAUCAGAUCCUACAGGUUAAGGCUUCAGUUCCACAAGACUGCCCCUAUUUCAGAUGCCAAUGCCAAGUCCAGGUCUCCCUUCUGACUUCUGACCAACUGGUUAUAAAUCAGGAUUUGCAUGAGCCCCUCGUUGUGUUCAAUAAUUUGCUAGUACAAAUCACAGAAUGCAGGAAAAAAGUUUGCUUACUAGGUUUCUGGUUUAUUAAGCAGAUAUAAUUUAGGGACAGCAGAUGGAAAAAAUACAUAGGGCAAGGUAUGGGGGGGCAUGGAGCUUCUAUGCCCUCUUCAGGCCUGCCACCCUCCCAGCACCUCCAUGUGCUCAUCAACCUACUAAUACUCUGAACACUGUCCUUUUGGGUUUUUAUGGAAGCUUUUUUAUGUAGGCAUGAUAUAUUAAAUCAUUGGCCAUUAGUGAUCAACUGAACCUCCCUCCCUCUCUCCUUUACCUAGAGGUUAAAGGGAAGGUAAGGGAAUGAGAGGAGGUAGAACCUGGAAGUUCCAACCUUCUAAUUACAGGGUUGGUUCCCCUGACAAUCAGCCCCCAUUCUGAAGCUAUCCAGCAGCCCCUAGUCACCAGUCAUUCAUUAGCAUACAAAAAGACACCACUUCCUAUAUUCCAAGGGUCUUAGGAGCAAUGUGCCAAGAAACAAUGGCCUAGACCAAAUAUAUUUAUUUGUUAUUAUGUUAACAGCUCAUCUCUUUCCUUUUCAGCUUCCUCCCUCUCUCCCUUCCUUCCUCCCUCUCUUCCUCCCUUCCUCCCUUCCCUCCUUUCUUUCCUUUCUUUUUCUCCUAAUUGCUGUGGCUUGAACUUCCAGUACUCUGUCGAAUACCAGUGGCAAAAGUGGCAUCCUUGCCUUGUUUCUGCCUGAAGCAGAAACACUUUGUCUUUUACCAUUGAGUAUGCUGUUUGCUGGGAGCUUUUAAUUAUGGUUUUAUUAUGUUGAAGUAGUGUUCUAUUCCUAGUUUGUUAAGUGUUAUGAAAGGGUGUUAAAUUUUGUCAAAUUUUUUUGUGUGCCUCAAUUGAGAUGAUUAUGUAUUUUCUUUCCUUCAUUCUGUUAGUAUGGUAUAUUGCAUUGACUUAUUUUUGUGUAUUGAACCAUCUUUGCAUUAUAAGAAUAAAUGCCACUUGUUCAUGAUGUAUAAUCCUUUUAAUUCUCUUUUUUUUUUUUGCUAUUGAGUUCUGUUUUUGUUUUGUUUUAUGCUUGUAUUUGUUUUUCAUUUUCAUAGAUUUCGGGGGAACAGGAAGCAAAAUGGUGAAAUCUUUGCUUUAAUAUUAAAAUGCCUGGACCAAACAAUUUAAUGGACUAGGUGUGAAGCUCAGAGAACAGGACUUAGACUUUUUCUUAGAUAUACCUCCUGCUGUUGGUUAAAACAACAUUAAGGGGACAAACUUGAAAUGUCUGUAAAUCAGAUAAGAGAAUUGCAUCGACAGCAAUUUCCUGAUUGUGAUCAUUUGCAACUCAGUGAUUAAUGUCAUAAUAGUCCUUUAAGCAACAUUCUCUGGGGUAUAGGGGGAUGACUGGGCACUGGGUCUGCAACACGCUGCCCGAUGAUUCUGAAAACAAUAAUGACAACAAAAUGAUAAAAAGAAAGAAAACAUAAAGCAAAUGUGGUAAAAUAUCAUUUGGGGAGCCUAGGUGCAGGGUAUAGGGGAAUUCAUACUAUUCUUGCAAUGUUUCUGUAAGUCCAAAACAUUUAACAAUGAAAAGUAUUUUUAAAAGUUAAAAAAAAAAAAAAAAAUGAAAAGUUAAAAUUUUCUAAACAACAACGACAACAUAAAGGCCGGGCGCAGUGGUUCACACCUGUAACCCCAGCACUUCGGGAGGCUGAGGUGGGUGGAUCACCUGAGGUCAGGAGUUUGAGACCGGCCUGACCAGCAUGGAGAAACUCCGUCUCUACCAAAAAUACAAAAUUAA